AUCUCCUUCCUCACAUCCUCUCUAUCUGGCUCUCCACAGUCAACAGCAGCCCUCGCCCUGGGAUUGCUCCACAAUCCCCAAACUCCAGCUCCCAGCUGCUGUCCCUUUCAGGGGACCCACGUCCGUCUGGGGAAGCAGUUGUGAUGGCCUCUGCUGGUCAGAGAGGGACAUGAGGAAAUAGCCUGGUUGGCAUUUACAAGCCUCUCAGUGCAGGCCAUGCCACUCACCGCACAGACCCUGUCCCCUCCAGUCUCCAUCACAGAGGACCGGCUGUCUCACGUCGAGGGCAUGCCAGUGUUCAUUCAGUUCCUUUGUGUGGCUGCGAGGCAUGUGUGGAGGCUGCAGCAGUGACCCCCUGACCGCCACCUGCCUCGUGGGGCUGAGGCAGCCAGUCCCCAGGCAUUUUCCUGGGCAUCACUCCAACAGGCCUGGCCUGUGUCUGUUCCUCCAGCCCUCUCAAUAAAACUGAAA